rnacentral:rRNA from 1 species
UGCAGUCGAACGAUGAACCACUUCGGUGGGGAUUAGUGGCGAACGGGUGAGUAACACGUGGGCAAUCUGCCCUUCACUCUGGGACAAGCCCUGGAAACGGGGUCUAAUACCGGAUACGACACUCUCGGGCAUCCGAUGAGUGUGGAAAGCUCCGGCGGUGAAGGAUGAGCCCGCGGCCUAUCAGCUUGUUGGUGAGGUAAUGGCUCACCAAGGCGACGACGGGUAGCCGGCCUGAGAGGGCGACCGGCCACACUGGGACUGAGACACGGCCCAGACUCCUACGGGAGGCAGCAGUGGGGAAUAUUGCACAAUGGGCGAAAGCCUGAUGCAGCGACGCCGCGUGAGGGAUGACGGCCUUCGGGUUGUAAACCUCUUUCAGCAGGGAAGAAGCGAAAGUGACGGUACCUGCAGAAGAAGCGCCGGCUAACUACGUGCCAGCAGCCGCGGUAAUACGUAGGGCGCGAGCGUUGUCCGGAAUUAUUGGGCGUAAAGAGCUCGUAGGCGGUCUGUCGCGUCGGAUGUGAAAGCCCGGGGCUUAACCCCGGGUCUGCAUUCGAUACGGGCAGACUAGAGUGUGGUAGGGGAGAUCGGAAUUCCUGUGGUAGCGGUGAAAUGCGCAGAUUUCAGGAGGAACACCGGUGGCGAAGGCG